rnacentral:tRNA from 2 species
GGGCCUAUAGCUCAGCUCGGUUAGAGCGCUUCACUGAUAAUGAAGAGGUCGGAGGUUCAAGUCCUCCUAGGCCCA